rnacentral:rRNA from 1 species
GGGUUGUGAGGUUAAGCGACUAAGCGUACACGGUGGAUGCCCUGGCAGUCAGAGGCGAUGAAGGACGUGCUAAUCUGCGAUAAGCGUCGGUAAGGUGAUAUGAACCGUUAUAACCGGCGAUUUCCGAAUGGGGAAACCCAGUGUGAUUCGUCACACUAUCAUUACGUGAAUACAUAGCGUAAUGAAGCGAACCGGGGGAACUGAAACAUCUAAGUACCCCGAGGAAAAGAAAUCAACCGAGAUUCCCCCA